AUCUAUAAGCUACUUUGGGCAACAUGGCUACUAAAUGUGAAAUUUAAUACAGGGGUAGGACCAAGCAAAAAUUCUAGAGCCAAAGAAUAUGAUUAUUGAACUAAAAAAAAUCGUUGAGUGUUCAACAACCAAUCCAAUCAAAUAGAAGAAAUAACUGGUAAGCUAGAAUACAGGUCAUUUGGUAUUACCCAGUAAAAGGAACAAAAAUUAAAAUGAAAAACAGUAAAGAAAGCCAAUGAGACUUAUGGAAAACCAUCAAAUGAACUAAUCAAUAUAUGCAUGAUUGAAGUCUAAGAAGGGAGGAAACAGAAAGAGGAAGAAAGCUUAUUUUAAAAAAUAACUCAAACAUCCAGAGAGGGAAAUGAACAUACAGAUUCAAAGAUCCCAAAGUAUCCCCAAAUAAUCUGAUUACAAAUAAAUUCACAGCAAAGCAAAAAUUAUAAUCUUAUUUUCCAGUCUAAGACAGAGAAUUUAAAAGUAGCAUGAGAAAACUGACUCAUUACAUAAAAGAUAAUUUACCUAAACCUAAAAGUGAAUUUCUCAGCAGAAACCUUGCAACCCAGAGAAUGACAUAUUCAAAUUGGUGAAAGAACAACAAAAAAUGCCAUACAAGAAAACUUUACCCAGCAAAACUGUCCUUUAAAAAUAAAGAAGAAAUCAAUACUUUCUAGACAAAAACAAAGACAGUUCGUCACCAUUGUAUCAGCCUUACAAAGAGUGCUGAAGUGAGAUCUUCAAGUUGAAACAAAAGGAUACUGUACAGCAACACAAAAGCAUAUUGGAGUAUAAGUAUCAUUGGUCAAGGUAAUUAUAUACAUAAAUACAGAAACUAUAAUAACACAACAUUUUAAGAACAUUAUAACAAUAUAACAUUAUAACAAUAUAACAUCGUUGUAACGAUAUAAC
rnacentral:lncRNA from 1 species